UAGUGCUGACAGCCAUGCUUUCUCC
rnacentral:piRNA from 1 species